UACGUAGGUGGCAAGCGUUGUUCGGAGUUACUGGGCGUAAAGCGUGCGUAGGCGGUGCCAUAAGUCUGUUGUGAAAUCUCCCGGCUUAACUGGGAGGGUGCGGUGGAAACUGUGGUGCUGGAGUGUGGGAGAGGUAGGCGGAAUUCCUGGUGUAGCGGUGAAAUGCGUAGAUAUCAGGAGGAACACCUGUGGUGUAGACGGCUUACUGGACCAUGACUGACGCUGAGGCACGAAAGCGUGGGGAGCAAACAGG
rnacentral:rRNA from 1 species